GAUCCUACGGGGCGCAGCAGUGAGGAAUAUUGGUCAAUGGGCGGGAGCCUGAACCAGCCAAGUCGCGUGAAGGAAGAAGGUACUUAGUAUUGUAAACUUCUUUUGUCGGGGAACAAAGGCGGAGACGCGUCUCCGGAUGAGUGUACCCGAAGAAAAAGCAUCGGCUAACUCCGUGCCAGCAGCCGCGGUAAUACGGAGGAUGCGAGCGUUAUCCGGAUUUAUUGGGUUUAAAGGGUGCGUAGGCGGGCUGUUAAGUCAGCGGUCAAAUGUCGGGGCUCAACCCCGGCCUGCCGUUGAAACUGGCG
rnacentral:rRNA from 1 species